AUGAGUAGGCGUUCUUAGGCAUAUGAACCCCUGUAUAGAGAAAAUGAUUGGUUAGUGUUUUUUGCAUAGAAAUGCUUUGAGUAAAAUAAUUGGUUAAGGUAUUGAUAAGAAGACCUCUCAUUUUAAUUAUAUAAUAAGGAUCAGGAAACAAGCUCAUUAGAACUUAACUCUGGGAUACAGCUCAAGACCAAAGCUGCUAGGAUUUUUAACUGCUGCACAACUAGAUUAUGUGGAAGAUGGAGCCCUGAAUGAGAUCAAAUCCUGACUAGCCAUUGGGAGACAUCAGUCUGCUUUAUUGGGAGUGUUAGAAGCCAAUUACAGUUAAAAAAGAAUCUACAAAGACAGAUGUGAGUCUUGGACUUCAGCCAGCCAAGAUACUACAUCAUUGGGACAGAUCCAGCUUUACACUAACCUCCAGGAUCCAUGACAGACUUGUAAUACGCUGUGGCUGAUGAGAUGGGAGAAAACCCAGAGAAACAGGUUUUCCCUAUAGGAGAGUAUAACCAUAAUCAGCACCCUGCAGAAGAAUCACCCACAGAGAGCUUUUAAAAGGAAGCAUUAAAGACAGAAAACAUGCAACAACCAAAACUUUUUCAAAUGCAAAUAUGAAAGCACAUGGAUGAGCUGAAAACCACAUACAGAAACACUACAGAGCAAGCACUGCUGAAGCUGGCAUUGCAUAUCUUCCUUUUGAAGUGACCAAGGGCUUUUUGUUUGCUUGCUUUUAAAAAAAGACCAUCAGACCUAAAAGAUCUAAUUUACUAAGUCUCUGGAGACUUAACAUGAUGCAAAAACAGACAUCACAGGAAAUAAAAUAGAUAUAUGCUAAGACAUCUAGACAGACCACCUCUGAAUAGCUCACACUAUGGCCAUCUCCUCAGCUUCAUGUAGAGAACUACCCUGGAAAAGUACUGUGAUAAGAUACUUCUUCUACACAGCAGUUACCAUUAACAAAAUGACCUUCUGUGUCCUUUGCUAGAGAAGCUGGGGGAAUAGAAGUCGCCACAUACACAUUUUCUGAGACUUCCCUCAGAUUCAAACAUUCUGGACACACAUGGCCAAUAGCCUGCACAAAACCCUAUCCAUAUAGAGCUAACAAACAAAUUUAGUAAAUACUGGGAAAUACCCUGCUAUCUGGUACUUGUGUGGUUCCCAUGGUCAUAAUAUCUGAUCAUCUCAUAGAUAUUAAUGAAUUAAACCUCACAAAAACUGUUAUCUGAUUAUCUGUGUGACAUUGGGCUAGUCACUUAA